UACGAAGGGGGCGAGCGUUGUUCGGAUUUACUGGGCGUAAAGGGCGCGUAGGCGGCCGGAUCAGUCGGGUGUGAAAGCCCGGGGCUCAACCCCGGAACGGCACCCGAGACGGUCUGGCUGGAGACCGGGAGAGGAGGGUGGAAUAGCCAGUGUAGAGGUGAAAUUCGUAGAUAUUGGCUGGAACACCGGUGGCGAAAGCGGCUCUCUGGCCCGGUUCUGACGCUGAGGCGCGAAAGCGUGGGGAGCAAACAGG
rnacentral:rRNA from 1 species